UACGGGGGGAGCAAGCGUUGUUCGGAUUUACUGGGCGUAAAGGGCGCGUAGGCGGUCGUGACAAGUCACUUGUGAAAUCUCCGGGCUUAACUCGGAACGGUCAAGUGAUACUGUCGGACUAGAGUACAGAAGGGGCAACUGGAAUUCUCGGUGUAGCGGUGAAAUGCGUAGAUAUCGAGAGGAACACCUGCGGCGAAGGCGGGCUACUGGGCCGAUACUGACGCUGAUGCGCGAAAGCCAGGGGAGCGAACGGG
rnacentral:rRNA from 1 species